AGCGUAGACGGACUGGCAAGUCUGAUGUGAAAGGCGGGGGCUCAACCCCUGGACUGCAUUGGAAACUGUUAGUCUUGAGUGCCGGAGAGGUAAGCGGAAUUCCUAGUGUAGCGGUGAAAUGCGUAGAUAUCGGGAGGAACACCAGUGGCGAAGGCGGCUUCCUGGCACAUAACUGACGCUCAUGUGCGAAAGCUAGGGUAGCAACG
rnacentral:rRNA from 1 species